GCCAGCGUAGCGUAGUGGUUUGAGUGUUGGACUACAACGCUGGAGACCAGGGUCUGAAUCCCAGCUCAGCCA